UACAGAGGUCUCAAGCGUUGUUCGGAUUCAUUGGGCGUAAAGGGUGCGUAGGCGGCGCGGUAAGUCGGGUGUGAAAUCUUGGAGCUUAACUCCGAAACUGCAUUCGAUACUGCCGUGCUUGAGGACUGGAGAGGAGACUGGAAUUUACGGUGUAGCGGUGAAAUGCGUAGAUACCGUAAGGAAGACCAGUGGCGAAGGCGGGUCUCUGGACAGUUCCUGACGCUGAGGCACGAAGGCCAGGGGGAGCAAACGGGG
rnacentral:rRNA from 1 species